AAAUUUUCUUUGAAUUGCUAGCUAGUACAUUUAGUAAAAUUUUGAGAAAGAAAGGUAGUGAUAAUUUGAAAGAGUUAAUGAGACUAUAGAGGAAGAAAGAUCCAUAGUGGAUUAUGAUAGUUCUCAACAAUAAGAAAAAAAAUCAAUGAGAUAAAUUGAUCUCAAUUUAAAAACUAAUUCAUUCAAAUGUAUGCGGGAGUUUGUCAUCUGGUGAAGUAAAGAAGGUGUAUAUGAAAUGAAAUAGUAGUUUUUAUGUCCAAGGAAAACUAAGAAAUUUUAAAUGGAACCUAGAGGGAAUCUAGGAUAUGAGUAAUGAGGUUUUAAACCAAAUGCACUUAAGGUCUUUGACAAAAU
rnacentral:lncRNA from 1 species